AACAAACAGGUCACUGACUAUCUCGAAUCCCACCGUACCUUCUCCGCUGUGCAAUCGGGUUUCCGAGCCGGUCACGGGUGCACCUCAGCCACACUCAAGGUACUAAACGAUAUCAUAACCGCCAUCGAUAAAAGACAGUACUGUGCAGCCGUCUUCAUCGACCUUGACAAGGCUUUCGACUCUGUCAAUCACCAUAUUCUUAUCGGCAGACUCAACAGCCUCGGUUUUUCGGAUGACUGCCUUGCCUGGUUCACCAAUUACUUUGCAGACAGAGUUCAGUGUGUCAAAUCGGAGGGCAUGCUGUCCGGUCCUCUGGCAGUCUCUGUGGGGGUGCCACAGGGUUCAAUCCUCGGGCCGACUCUUUUCUCUGUAUAUAUCAAUGAUGUUGCUCUUGCUGCGGGCGAUUCCCUGAUCCACCUCUACGCAGACGACACCAUUCUAUAUACUUCCGGCCCGUCCUUGGACACUGUGCUAUCUAACCUCCAAACGAGCUUCAAUGCCAUACAACACUCCUUCCGUGGCCUCCAACUGCUCUUAAAUGCUAGUAAAACCAAAUGCAUGCUUUUCAACCGUUCGCUGCCUGCACCCGCACGCCCGACCAGCAUCACCACCCUGGAUUGUUCCGACCUUGAAUAUGUGGACAUCUAUAAGUACCUAGGUGUCUGGCUAGACUGUAAACUCUCCUUCCAGACUCAUAUCAAACAUCUCCAAUCGAAAAUCAAAUCAAGAAUCGGCUUUCUAUUCCGCAACAAAGCCUCCUUCACUCACGACGCCAAACUUACCCUAGUAAAACUGACUAUCCUACCGAUCCUCGACUUCGGCGAUGUCAUCUACAAAAUUGCUUCCAACACUCUACUCAGCAAACUGGAUGCAGUUUAUCACAGUGCCAUCCGUUUUGUCACUAAAGCACCUUAUACCACCCACCACUGUGACUUGUAUGCUCUAGUCGGCUGGCCCUCGCUACAUAUUCGUCGCCAGACCCACUGGCUCCAGGUCAUCUACAAGUCCAUGCUAGGUAAAGCUCCGCCUUAUCUCAGUUCACUGGUCACGAUGGCAACACCCAUCCGUAGCACGCGCUCCAGCAAAGAAAACAUCUCAUUUGGCCGCCUUUCGUUCCAGUUCUCUGCUGCCUGUGACUGGAACGAAUUGCAAAAAUCGCUGAAGUUGGAGACUUUUAUCUCCCUCACCAACUUCAAAAAUCUGCUAUCUGAGCAGUUAACCGAUCGCUGCAGCUGUACAUAGUCUAUCGGUAAAUAGCCCACCCAUUUUUACCUACCUCAUCC
rnacentral:lncRNA from 1 species